ACACAGGAAAACUUUUGAUCACUUGCUGAGACACCCCAGUAUACAUCAACAAAGUUUUUACCGGGAUGACAGCUGACUGACAGCUUUGCUUGUCCAGUAGCUGCACACAAGGGAGAAGCAUGAGCCACUGCUGGGGAUGUACCCUUAAGGAUUCAGUCACCAUCAGCUGAAGCCCUCCAUAUGCAUCACCUCCGCCAGGAGCAUAUGCAAGACUGAACCCUCAUGCUGGACCAGUUGGUCACUCUGGCAGAGGAGCAGUUGGAGGACUCAUGGGCCUGCCACUUCCAGGACAUGGAGCAAGAGUGGGAGAGGAACCAGGUGGGAGACUGACCAGAACCAAGAUUUCUUGUGCUUCCAGGAAGAGUUGGUUCAGGCAACUGGCUAAAUCUGGACUCUUAUUUUUAAUGAAAUUGAUUGCUAUUUCAUCAGUUUGGGGCUCCUUUGAUAUUUAUAACACAGAUGCUUUUUCUGAAGUACAGCCUACUGAAAAAAAAAUAUCCAGCCAAGCUUGUUAGAGCAGUGAAAAGAUAACAGGAUCAUAACAGCACUUGGCAGGAUUCUGUGGUUGCAGCACUGGCUGUGGAGGUUCAUUGUUUUGGAAUGAUGAAGUCAAACAGCCUCUAUAUCCACCUACUGAAAAGUUCUGACUGACAGAUACAACUAUUAGAGUCUGUGGGAUAAAAUAUGCUGUUCAGCUUGAGCCUGUUGUAAACUGGAACCUGCAUAGUCUGUUCUAGUGGUUAGGAUCAGGCCAUAAACCUGAAGAACAGAACUGGUAGGCAGCAACAGAAACCAAGCUGAGUGUCAAAAUCAGGAAGAAGGUACUAAAGUAGACUAGGAACCAAAGAAACUACAAAACAAGACUUGAAAGCAGUUAGUGAACCAAGACAAUCUUCAACUCUGAGCAUCAAGCUGCUAAAUUUGGCCGAAAGGACUGGGAUUACAUUGUGCCUACAACCAAGACCCAGUCAGCUGUACCCAAUCAAGGAUUGAAUAGUCUCUAACAGGUCUGAAGCUGAAUGUAAAUGUUUACUUCUACAAGAAACAAGUUCUCCAGACUGGGAAACUACAGACUGUUCAGCUUCACUUCAGUCCCUGGAAAAAUCAUGGAGCAGAUCCUCAAGUAAUUCAUUUCUAAGCACUUUAGAUGAGAAGAAGGUGAUUAGGAACAGUCAGCUUUAGGAAGAGUCAUCAAGGGCAAAUCAUGCCUGACCAACCCAAUUGCCUUCUAUGAUGAGGUGACUUGCUCUGUGGGUAUGGGAAGAGCAGUGGUCAUGAUAUAUCUUGACAUUAGCAAGGCUUUUGAUACAGUCUUCCACAUCUGUCUCCCAGGCAAGCUAAGGAAGUACAGGUUGGAUGAAUGGAUUUAAAGAUUUGGAGCCUAAAACACACUUGCUGAAAGGCAACAAAAGGCAAGCCCAGAAGUGCUGAAUUGCAACUAGAGGAAUGACAGAGAGCAAUUAUAGCUGUCCAAGAGAGAAGAAUUAAUACAUCAGCCCAAUGUGAAGCUCAUAUUUCGGGCAAAGUAUUUUUGCACAGGCAAGUCUCUACAUCAAUUUCCCAGCUAUUUGAUUCAUAGGAAAACAGUAUUGCAGAAAACAUAGAAAGGAAAAUAAAGACUCUAGGGAUACUUUAUCAGUUUAAAUAGUAUUAUACUCAUGUGCAGUGAGGCUGCUGGAGUUGAGCUGCCAGUAGAAGUGAAAAGGAGCUGUUUUUUAAGUAGAGAAAUAUUAAAGAUAUGUGAAUAAAGAAUGUUGAGUUGAUGAAAUGAAUCUGCCACUUUAUUUUCUUUUGUCUAAAUAAUGCCUCAUGAGGCGAUUGGAGAGGAGAGGGUGAUCAGUGCCUUAUUCAAUAUGAGGAGGAGGGGAAAAAAUCUAGUGAAGCUUGGAUGGUAUGUCGCUACUCAGUGAACGAGAGUGCCAUGGCUGUGAUGGAUGGGGAGAUUGGCUAGCAUUAGGGAGAGUGUAAAGGGCCAUGGUAAUGUCUAUUAAAGCAAUCUAUUUCCUCAGACUCAUCUGGCACUCACUCUUUGUCACUACACUUGUUACUUACUGUUGACAUUAAAUGCCAGAGAACUUGAAAGAGUUUGAGCAGAGACAAAAAAUCCCUACUAAGAAGAAAGUGUAAAACAGUAGGAGAAACAUGUUGGCUUCAUCCUGAGUGAACAUUAAAUACACUUUACAUUUGUCUAAAGAGACAGUUAAUGGGGAAACAGGUACUUUAAUUGAACAGGCUGAGAGCUUCAUGCAGCUGCAAAUAACAAACGCUUAGGAAAAAGCCGUUUUUCUAUGUAGGGAUCCUAAUCUGGAUGAAGGGAGGAAGCAUUUCUUCCUGAAAAUUAACAGAGAGUGCAAUUGGAUGGUGGAGAGAACUGAACAUUAUUUUUCCCCCUACAGCUCUAUUUCAAGCAGCAUAAAAGGGACUUGGAGCAGGCAUUCUGCCCAAAAUAGGCCUAAGGCAACAUAAAGGAGGUGGAUUAUUUUUGUUUUGAUUUCUUUUACAGCUCUCUGGAAGCCUGAGGGCAUAACAACUGGUGUAUUCAAGUAGUCUAGGUCACCAGAACCCGCCAUAGAUUAGGCUGAUUUUCACUCACUAGCAGUGCUUUUUGUCAUUAGCUGCUGUAUAAGUGUUAACAUUCAUUUGUGUAAUAGUAUUUCAUAAUUUUGUUGCACUUUGCACUGAAAGAUCCAAAUGUACUCUUAAAAUCAUCCACUGAUUUUGC